UCCCGCAACGAGCGCAACCCUCGCAUUCAGUUGCCAUCGGUAAGGCCGGGCACUCUGGAUGGACUGCCGGCGACAAGCCGGAGGAAGGUGGGGACGACGUCAAGUCAUCAUGGCCCUUAUGUCCAGGGCGACACACGUGCUACAAUGGCCGGCACAACGGGAAGCGAAGGGGCGACCCUGAGCGGAUCCCACAAAAGCCGGUCUCAGUUCGGAUUGCAGUCUGCAACUCGACUGCAUGAAGUUGGAAUCGCUAGUAAUCGUGGAUCAGCCAAGCCGCGGUGAAUACGUUCCCGGGCCUU
rnacentral:rRNA from 1 species